rnacentral:rRNA from 1 species
UACGUAGGGUGCGAGCGUUAAUCGGAAUUACUGGGCGUAAAGCGUGCGCAGGCGGUUGGUUAAGUCGGAUGUGAAAUCUCCGAGCUCAACUCGGAAAUGGCAUUGGAAACUACCCUGCUAGAGGGUCGGAGGGGGGACUGGAAUACUUGGUGUAGCAGUGAAAUGCGUAGAUAUCGAGAGGAACACCAGUGGCGAAGGCGAGUCCCUGGACAGAUCCUGACGCUGAGGCACGAAAGCUAGGGGAGCAAACAGG